rnacentral:rRNA from 1 species
GGUGGCGAGUGGCGAACGGGUGAGUAAAGCAUCGGAACGUGUCCGGGAGUGGGGGAUAACGUAGCGAAAGUUACGCUAAUACCGCAUAUUCUCUGAGGAGGAAAGUGGGGGAUCGCAAGACCUCACGCUUUCGGAGCGGCCGAUGUCGGAUUAGCUAGUUGGUGGGGUAAAGGCCCACCAAGGCGACGAUCCGUAGCGGGUCUGAGAGUAUGAUCCGCCACACUGGGACUGAGACACGGCCCAGACUCCUACGGGAGGCAGCAGUGGGGAAUUUUGGACAAUGGGGGCAACCCUGAUCCAGCCGUGCCGCGUGAGUGAAGAAGGCCUUCGGGUUGUAAAGCUCUUUCGGCGGGGAAGAAAUCGCUUGGAUUAAUACUCUGAGUGGAUGACGGUACCCGAAUAAGAAGCACCGGCUAACUACGUGCCAGCAGCCGCGGUAAUACGUAGGGUGCGAGCGUUAAUCGGAAUUACUGGGCGUAAAGCGUGCGCAGGCGGUUGUGCAAGACAGGCGUGAAAUCCCCGGGCUUAACCUGGGAACUGCGCUUGUGACUGCACGGCUAGAGUACGGCAGAGGGGGGUGGAAUUCCACGUGUAGCAGUGAAAUGCGUAGAGAUGUGGAGGAACACCGAUGGCGAAGGCAGCCCCCUGGGCCAGUACUGACGCUCAUGCACGAAAGCGUGGGGAGCAAACAGGAUUAGAUACCCUAGUAGUCCACGCCCUAAACGAUGUCAACUAGUCGUUGGUAGGGUAAAACCUAUUAGUAGCGAAGCUAACGCGCGAAGUUGACCGCCUGGGGAGUACGGCCGCAAGGUUAAAACUCAAAGGAAUUGACGGGGACCCGCACAAGCGGUGGAUGAUGUGGAUUAAUACGAUGCAACGCGAAAAACCUUACCUACCCUUGACAUGUCAGGAAUCCCGCUGAGAGGUGGGAGUGCCCGAAAGGGAGCCUGAACACAGGUGCUGCAUGGCUGUCGUCAGCUCGUGUCGUGAGAUGUUGGGUUAAGUCCCGCAACGAGCGCAACCCUUGUCAUUAAUUGCCAUCAUUCAGUUGGGCACUUUAAUGAGACUGCCGGUGACAAACCGGAGGAAGGUGGGGAUGACGUCAAGUCCUCAUGGCCCUUAUGGGUAGGGCUUCACACGUCAUACAAUGGUCGGUACAGAGGGUUGCCAAGCCGCGAGGUGGAGCCAAUCCCAGAAAGCCGAUCGUAGUCCGGAUCGCAGUCUGCAACUCGACUGCGUGAAGUCGGAAUCGCUAGUAAUCGCGGAUCAGCAUGUCGCGUGAAUACGUUCCCGGGUCUUGUACACACCGCCGUCACACCAUGGGAGCGGGUUCUGCCAGAAGUAGCUAGUCUAACCGCAAGGGGGACGGUUACCACGGCAGGGUUCGUGACUGGGGUGAAGUCGUAACAAGGUA